AGGGAGACCUGGGUUAGAUUCUCUGCCAAUGCACCUAAUGUCAGUGGAAGUGUGCGUAUCGCUGUGAAAGGGUGAGGACUUGGAA
rnacentral:miRNA from 1 species